GCUGCUUUGAGUGACAGGCGGGUGCUGUCACAGGCAUGUCACCACCAUGGCGACUAUGUUAGUUAGGUAACAUAACCAUGGUUACCAGAUUCAGGGAGUAUAGGUGUAGGCGUAGGCAUAGGCAUAGCCGUCGCUAUUUCAGUGUGUUUUCAGUUCAUGAAAGUUAAUUGUAACAUUUUGGUCGCCUAAAAAAGGCUUGUUCAGCUUUUUGUUGUACUAAAAGUCCCUCUAAGGAGUCGGAUGUUCAGUUUUCAGUAAUGGAGGGACAGAGGCCACAUGCAACCAUCAACAUCAUGUAAUCACCAGUCAUCCUUCUUUGUUGAAUCAAACCAAAAGACUGUAUGGUUGGAACAGAGGAGAACAGAGGCCAGUUGCGGAAAGUAAUGUCGAAGAAGACAAACAAGCUCAUGGUGAAUCCUCGUCACCUCUCUUCUGAAGAACUUGACAUCACUUCAUUAAGGCAAGUUGGUGUCCCUCUUGUGUAAAAUGUUUCAUUUCUCUUUCACUCACUCUGCUCGAUUUUCAUUCUUGGUUCUCUCUUACUCAGUGAGCUGUGAGCCUGAAAGCCUGGAUGGCAACCUUCUGCUAAUUAUAACAGAGGACAUUUGAAGGCAUUACAAAUUGUUUUAUCCUGCAAUAUGUUAAUUUGUGCUUUUAUAUCUUUUUAAACAAUAGUUUGCAAAGCAGUUGCUGUUUACACUCAUGACUAUGUUUUGCUGGCAGCUCAGGAUAUUAUAAUUAACUGAUUUACAUUGACCCCCUGUGAAAGGGCAUGAACCAUAAAAAUUAUUUUUUCAAACACGCAUACUUGAAUAAACUGGGUAUAUUUGAUAACUUUGAAAGCUGUCACAUGACUCAUCCUCUUUUGUGCUAAAUGUUAAGGGUUAUGCAUUUUUAAAAAUAAAACUGAGCUGAUCUUAUUACUAGACCAUUAAGAUUGAACACGCAUUGUAAUUUACAGUAUAUGUCUGAAAUUUAUCGUUGUUUUUAUUAAUAUGAAAAAGAAGAAAACUUUUCAGUUGUUCAUCAUAAGAAACUGUUUGUGUAGUUUACAAUAGCAACACUGUAAAAAAAAAUACAGUGUAUUACUGCAGGCCUAGCUACAUUAUCAAACUGUAAAACUCACAUCCUACAGCAGAAUACUGUAAUAAUUUUUACAGCAGUUAACUGUAAAAGUAAAUUAUGGUACACUGUAA